ACUAGUAGGGACAGGCUCAUUCUUUUGAGGAGCCCACCCUGCUCCACUGUUCAGGGUAUCUCUUCUUUCUGAGCUCCUACGCCUUUAGAUAAAGGGCACUUACCUGCUUAACUCUUUCUGCGUGUCUCUUGACUGAAUUCAAGGAGACCAAGAACCAGAGGACUUCCACGCCCCUCCCGGUAACAUCUGGUGUUUUCCCCUGGUGGCCUGUGAACUGUUCUUCUGGAUGGGUAACCAGAGCUCCGUAUCCCGGGAUUCCCCUCUCGGAUGCAUCCUUAGAAACUGGGAUAAGUUUGAUCCCCAGGCAUUGAAACGAAAAAGAUUGGUUUUUCUUUGCAAUACAGUUUGGCCAAAAUAUGAACUAAAAGGGCAGGAAGCCUGGCCAGUGGGGGGAAGCUUAAAUGUUAAUACCAUACUCCAGCUUGACGUCUACUGCCGACAACAGCGCAAAUGGUCAGAGGUCCCUUAUGUGCAAACCUUCAUGAUCUUGAGGGAAAACCCCGAUUUUUGUAAAGGCUGCAAGAUAGAUCCUGCCCUUUUAGCUAUCCUCAGUCGUCCACUCCAGAGACCUCAACCAGGAGGCUUCAAUGAUUUCCUGGUCAACCCACCUCAACCUCCUCUUCCUGAGACCAAAGAGAAAGAGCAAGCACCCCCAGCUCCUUCCUCCUUGUAUCACACUCUUAGCCUUCAUGGGUCAGCCUCAACCUACACUAGGCCCUCAGGCCCCCGCUCUGGAAUCUGCCUGCUACCAGUGAUGAGCCAACCAAUAGGACCAGUCCAAGUCCAGGUCCCCUUUUCCAUGCAGGACUUGUCCCAAGUUAAGGAAGGCCUGGGAAAAUUCUCAGAGAAUCCGGGAAAAUUCCUGGAGGGCUUCCGUAAAUUAACCCUCACUUUUGAACUAACCUGGAAGGAUGUCGCCAUCCUCCUAGGACAAACCCUGUCUCUGGAAGAAAGACAGACCAUUUGGGAGGCAGCGCGUCAAUGCGGGGAUGAGCUACACUUGGCAGAUGCCAACUACCCCGUGGGAGCUACAGCUGUCCCCCUGCAGGACCCCAACUGGGACUACGAUACCCCGGCAGGAAUCUGCGCCAGAAAUCAUAUGCUCCUAUGCCUGAUAGAGGGAAUGAAAAGGAGUCAAGUCAAGCCUGUCAAUUAUAAUAAGUUAGCAACCAUCGACCAAGGGCCACAUGAGAAUCCCACGGCCUUUCUCGAAAGGCUCCAGGAAACUCUUAUCAAACAUACCAACCUAGACCCGGGAUCCCCAGAAGGACAACUAGUCCUGAAGGAUCACUUCCUCAGACAAGCUGCCCCAGACAUUAGGAGAAAACUGCGAAUGCUAGCUUUGGGAACUAGAGCCCCCAUGUCAGAAAUCCUCAGAUUCGCUUCCUCAGUGUUUUAUAACCGAGACCAGGAUGAGAGGGACAGGGCCGAGAGGAAGGAAAAACAGAAAGAAGAGAGGCAGGCUCAAUUACUGGCUGCUUUGCAAGUCCACCAGCCCCCUCCAGGUUGCCCUAAGGAUACCCUCCCAGGGAACUGCUAUCAGUGCGGGAAGCCGGGCCAUUGGAAGGCAAACUGCCCCUAUGGGCCAAAGGGGGAAAAGCCCUGCACGGCCUGUCCCCUCUGCCGUAAGCUCAGGUACUGGAAAGAGAACUGUCCCGAGAGCCAAAAGGGCCCCUGAGCCAAUGACGGCUUUGAGCUGAGGGUGCCCUCUGCCUUGGCCAGCUCCCAGAUGUGACAUCAUCAUCAAAGGGAUGGAGCCCAGGGCAACUCUGGAUGUAGCAGGUAGGACAAUACAUUUUCUAUUUGAUUUGAGAGCAGCCUGCUCGGUGCCGACCCCCUUCUCUAGGCAACUUUCCUCUGUCAGGUAAUCAGGGUAAAUGGCAUCUCUUCCUAAGAUUUACACCUUCUUUACUGUUAAAAGACCAAUUAAUCUUUUCCCAUGAGUUCCUGAUAAUGUCUGAAUGUCCCAUACGUCUUUAGGGCAGGGAUAUACUCUCCAAACUAGGGGCACGCUUCACAUUUACCUGAACUUCCCUGAAAGUCUUUCUUUUUUUUUUUUGGAAGACUCACCCAUGACAUUGGUGAAUUAUCUUGAUCUGGAAUCACAAAUAACCCUGAGAUAUGGGCUUUGAUACACUAGGAAGGGCAAUAACUGCAGUCCCAGUCAAAAUCCAGCUAAGAAAACCUUCCACUUCUUUCAUAAGAAACAAUACUCGCUAUGGCCAGAGGCAACGGAAGGACUUGAGCCUGUCAUUAACCCAUUCCUUAGACAUGGCCUGUUAAAGUCUGUAACUCUCCCUGCAACACAGGAAAUCUAUUCUGCUGGUAGAAAACAUUUAUAGGGUUCUCCACUACUGAACCCUGAUUAAGUCUGGUUUUCUGAUGGCGGCAGUUUCAUCCAACAUGGAGUGACACAUGCAGUUAUGCAAUAGUGUCUCUAUUUGACAUUAUAGAAGCCAAAUCCCUUCCUCCAAGAACGUUGGCAGAGCUAGCAGAGCUCAUUUCCUUAACUAGAGCCAUAGAAAUAGGGAAAAACCCAAAAGCUACAAUUUAUACAGAUUCAAAAUAUGCCUUCUCAGGACUCCAUGCUCAUGUGGCCAUCUGGAAGGAACAGGGAUUUUUACCAGCAAAAGAUACCCCUAAGGAAUGUGGACCACAGAUCCUGGCCCUGCUCUAAGCUGUACACCUAUCACAGGAAAUAGCUGUAGUCCAUGGCCAGGGACACCGAAGGACCAGGGAGAAAAUGCCCAGCAAAACAGGAGGGUGGAUCAAACAGCCAGGACCACUACCCUGUAGGGAACUCCUCAUGGCCCUUAACCCAUCUUUACCCAACACCUUACCCACCCACAAAAACCCAAGAGGAAAAGGAAUGGGCUAUCAAAUAUGAAUCUACCCGAGAACCUGAGGUGUGGUAUACAGUGGGAGGAAUUCUCCACUUUCCUAGGCCCUCCAGUAAAAACUUGUGAGAGCACUCCGUGAGUCAUGUCACUUUGGGAGACAUCAUCUCCAGCACAUGUGCAAAAACCUCUUUUCCAGGAAAGGGCUCUACUAGACUAUUUGUCAGGUCUUUAACACCUGUGCAUCCUGUGCCUGUAAUAGCCCCCAGGGCCCUACGCUGCCCUGCUUUUUUUUUUUUUUUUUGAGUCAAAGUUUCACUCUUAGUACCCAGGCUGGAGUGCAACGGCGUGAUCUCAGCUCAUCGCAAUCUCUCCCUCCCAAGUUCAAGCGAUUCUCCUGCCUCAGCCUCCUGAGUAGCUGGGAUUACAGGCAGGUGCCACCAAAAAAAGACCAAAAAAAAAUUUUUUUUUUUUUUUUGUAUUUUUAGUAGAGAUGGCGUUUCUCCAUGCUGGUCAGACUGGUCUUGAACUCCCAACCUCAGGUAAUCCGCCUGCCUCGGCCUCUCAAAGUGCUGGGAUUACAGGCAUGAGCCACCGUGCCCAGCCAAAUUUUUUUUUUGUUCAAUGUUGCCCAGGUUGGCCUCAAACGCAUAGCCUUGCCUCCUUGUGCCCCAGGACAACCGGCCAGAGCCAAUGCAGCUCCCUGUCCUGCUUAGUUGAGCCAGUUCAGCAUCAGGAAGCUUACCCAGGGAAAGACUGACGGAUGUAUUUCACUCAAUUGCCAGCCUAUAGAGCCUAUAAAUGCCUUCUGGUGUUUGUGGAUACCUUUAUUGGGUGGGUUAAAGCCUUUCCUACAAGAACAGAAAAGGCCCAGGAAGUAGCCAAGGUACUUCUUAAAAAAAAAAAAAAUCAUCCCGGCCGGGCGUGGUGGCUCACGUCUGUAAUCUCAGCACUUUGGGAGGCCGAGGCAGGCGGAUCACGAGGUCAGAGAAUUGAGACCAUCCUGGCUAACACAGUGAAAUCCUGUCUCUACCAAAAAGUAGAAAAAAUUAGGUGGGUGUGGUGGUGGGCGCCUGUAGUCCCAGCUACUCAGGAGGCUGAGGCAGAAGAAUGGUGUGAACCCGGGAGGCGGAGCUUGUGGUGAGCUGAGAUUGUGCCACUGCACUCCAGCCUGGGCAACAGAGCGAGACUCCGUCUCAAAAACAAAAAGAAAAA
rnacentral:lncRNA from 1 species